UACGAAGGGGGCUAGCGUUGUUCGGAAUCACUGGGCGUAAAGCGCACGUAGGCGGAUUUGUAAGUCAGGGGUGAAAUCCCGGGGCUCAACCCCGGAACUGCCUUUGAUACUGCAAGUCUCGAGUCCGAUAGAGGUGGGUGGAAUUCCUAGUGUAGAGGUGAAAUUCGUAGAUAUUAGGAAGAACACCGGUGGCGAAGGCGGCCCACUGGAUCGGUACUGACGCUGAGGCGCGAAAGCGUGGGGAGCAAACAGG
rnacentral:rRNA from 1 species